GAACUACUCCUUCCGUCCCAAAAUUCUUAUUUUAGAUUUGUCUAGAUACGGAUAUAUCAAGUCACAUUUUAAUAUUAGAUACAUCUGUAUCUAAACAAAUUUAAGACAAGAAUUUUGAGACGGAUGGAGUAUAUU
rnacentral:pre_miRNA from 1 species